AUACCUAGGCUUUAUAGUUCCUGAGAUUUCGUGAUUAGUCAGUGAGUGAGUGAGUCAGUGAUUGGUAUUACGCUAUU